GGGGAGGAGGACCGCGAGCUGAAAGUGAGGAGGUAGCCGACAACCGUUGGGAGGGUAAAACGGUCGGACCGAGAGACACUGCGUAGGAGAGCCCGGACUGAGAGGUAGCACCGGAGGAGGUCGGGACAUGGAGAGACCCCAGACGCGACUACGAGGAGAAACGGAGCGGGGAGCACCAAGGCUGUGAAAGGCGCCGGCUUGCGGAGAAGCAACAAAUGCCGGAGAGUAAUGGCCCUUACCUGAUUGUCCGGCCAUCGGUGCGGAUCCCCGUAUGACCACUGCAGCUUAAAUAGUGCGUCAGAGGUGCAGGGUGUGUAACACCAACUGCUGAUGGAUGCCUGAUAACUACAUUGACAAAAUCUACAGACUUCCUUCCAGCACUAGCAGCAUUCCUCUGUGCAGCUCCUGACAUUGCGGGUGAUGAUUUCAAUUUACAGAAUUUUAAAGCUAUAUAUGAUCAGUUGAAAGUAGCUCUUAAUACUGGUCUCAAGCAAUGUCCGACUAGGGCAUGACAUCUGAUUAGCACAGGCCAAUGGAGGAGGUACUGAGACUGAAUGAAGGGGAAGAAGACUGAGAGCCUCCGGCCCUCCCCCAGGUGACGGCGUCCCUGGCAACGGACAGACAACUGCAGCCAGACAUGGAGCAAAUACGGGGCGGGUGACGUCAGCACGCCGCCAGCCGUGACCGGAAAUGCAGCGGAGGAUGAUGUCCGGACCCAGGGAGACGCCAGCAUGGGGCAGACGGGGGCUGUCUUACACCACACCGUUCACCUAUUUAAGGCAUGUCACUUACCAGUGUUUUUUUGUUUAGUUUGUUGUGUUUCACGUACAGCAUAGCACCUUGAGGAAAACGCCGUCAGGGCGUUGAAACGUCGGUGUACCACUAUGCUUGUUUGAUGUAUUUGCUGUGAUUAUUACACAUUUGGCUUUUCUAAAAA